CAGUAGCACGGGAAUACGUAGGUGGCAAGCGUUGUCCGGAAUUAUUGGGCGUAAGGGGCUCGCAGGCGGUUUCUUAAGUCUGAUGUGAAAGCCCCCGGCUCAACCGGGGAGGGUCAUUGGAAACUGGGAAACUUGAGUGCAGAAGAGGAGAGUGGAAUUCCACGUGUAGCGGUGAAAUGCGUAGAGAUGUGGAGGAACACCAGUGGCGAAGGCGACUCUCUGGUCUGUAACUGACGCUGAGGAGCGAAAGCGUGGGGAGCGAACAGGAUUAGAUACCCCCGUAGUCCCUGUCUCUUAUACC
rnacentral:rRNA from 1 species